AGAGUUUGAUCAUGGCUCAGAACGAACGCUGGCGGCGCGUUUUAAGCAUGCAAGUCGAGCGGUAAGCUAACUUCGGUUAGCCUAGAGCGGCGGACGGGUGAGUAACACGUGGAUAAUCUACCCCCUUGUUUGGGAUAGCCUGUGGAAACAUAGGGUAAUACCAAAUAAUACUCUUUUAUCACAAGAUAAGAGAAGGAAAGGCGCCUCAAAGCGUCGCAAGAGGAUGAGUCUGCGUCCCAUUAGCUAGACGGCAGGGUAAAAGCCUACCGUGGCAAUGAUGGGUAGCCGGCCUGAGAGGGUGAUCGGCCACAUUGGAACUGAGAUACGGUCCAGACUCCUACGGGGGGCAGCAGCUAAGAAUCUUCCGCAAUGGACGAAAGUCUGACGGAGCGACGCCGCGUGAACGAUGAAGGCCGUGAGGUUGUAAAGUUCUUUUCGGGAGGAGGAAUAAUGUUUGCAGGAAAUGGCAAGCAGACGACGUGAAUCCCGGAAUAAGCCCCGGCUAACUACGUGCCAGCAGCCGCGGUAACACGUAGGGGGCAAGCGUUGUUCGGAAUCAUUGGGCGUAAAGGGCGUGCAGGCGGUGUUGCAAGUCUGGCGUGAAAGAUCUCGGCUUAACCGAGGGAACGCGCUGGAAACUGUAAUACUAGAGUACAGGAGGGGACAUUGGAAUUCCAGGUGUAGGGGUGGAAUCUGUAGA
rnacentral:rRNA from 1 species